UGACAGUGCUCUUAGCGGAGUGGUCGCAGGCAAGCAGUAAACAUCCCUUGGUGUGCGCGAGGAGUCAUUAAUCCCAGGAGCUGGGCCAGGGCUUCACUAGCGCCGUCUGUGGCACCCCCACCCUCCCGAGAAAUCACCGCCAGUUGGCACCGGCGGGUCAAACGGAGCGGCGGAAUAAAUGGCGUCUUCUCAGAAGUCCUUUAGAUCUCUUCUUAUGCGGUGAAAAACAAUUUCAUGAGACGUUGUGAUGAACUCAGACCCGGAAAGGCCGUAUGUUUGCAACGCUCCUGGCUGUUCACAGCGAUUCCCCACUGAAGACCACCUCAUGAUACAUCGACACAAACAUGAGAUGACCCUCAAGUUUCCUUCCAUCAAGAAUGACAACUUGUUAUCCGACCAGACCCCAACGCCGACACGUUUCCUGAAGAACUGCGAGGAGGUGGGACUGUUCAGCGAGCUCGACUGCUCCAUUGAGCAAGAGUUUUGCAAGGCCCAGGAAGAAGAGGACUCCAAACAGAACAUCUCUCUGCACGGCCAGGGUGGCCAACACCAGCAGGCCCACUCGAGGAUGGGCAACCACGACACCAGCAUCGUCAUCCAGCAGGCGCUGCCUUCUCCUCAGUCCAGCUCCGUCAUCACUCAGGCGCCAUCCACCAACAGACAGAUCGGGCCCGUCCCCGGCUCUCUGUCCUCACUGUUGCACCUACGAAACAGACAGCGACAGCCUCUGCCAGCCUCCAUGCCUGGCACGCUGCCCGACCCCACCAUGCCUGGCUCCUCUGCUGUGUUGAUGCCCAUGGAGAGACAAAUGUCUAUGGGUGCCAACAUGAUGGCGAUGCAAGGCCCCGCCCACAGCAGCCCCUGCUCCUCGGCGCACAUUCCCUCCAUGCACUCAGAGGCCAAGAUGAGACUGAAGGCUGCACUUUCACACCACCCGGGCGCCCUCGCAAACGGAAACAUGAACUCCAUGGGCCACAUGAUGGAGAUGAUGUCGUCGCGGCAGGAGCAAGGCAACCACCAUCACAUGCACUCGCACUCGCACCCGCACCAGCACCUCCAAGCGCCCCCCCACGCGUACCAGCACCACGGCCACCACCACCACGGCCAGGGCCACGGCCCCGGCGGCCACCAUCACCCGCAGGGACACAACCCCCAUCACAACUCCCACGGUGGCCACCUCCAUCCGGGGCAUCCGCACCAGACCUCGCCGCACCCUCAGAUGCACUCCGCGUCGCAGAUGUCUCCCGCCACCCAGCACAUGCAGCCGACGCAGACGCUUCACUCCCCGCCCCCGAGCGGCGGCCGGCGGAGGCGGGUGGUGGACGAGGAUCCGGACGAACGUCGGCGGAAGUUUUUGGAAAGGAACCGAGCGGCGGCGACGCGAUGCAGGCAGAAGAGGAAAGUGUGGGUGAUGUCGUUAGAGAAGAAAGCGGAAGAACUCACGCAGACCAACAUGCAGCUUCAGAAUGAAGUGACAAUGCUCAAGAACGAGGUGACCCAGCUCAAGCAGCUCCUCCUCACACACAAGGAUUGUCCCAUCACCACUAUGCAAAAAGAGUCCCAAGGUUACCUCAGUCCAGAGAGCAGCCCGGCUGGAAGUCCUUCCCCAGCUUGCACGCAGCAGCAGGUCAUUCAGCACAACACCAUCACCACCUCCACCACGGCCGUAGGGGGCAGCGGCGUGCACGGACAACCCAACAGCCGCACGGACAUUAACGCCAUCCACUAGGGGGAAGCCCGCGGACUGUACCGGCCCCUGACGCACCUCUGCUUUUUUUUUUUUCUUUUUGAGGCUCUCCGGCUGCACCCCCCCCCCCAACCCCCCCAUCAAGAGAAACCUCAAGGGCCUCCAAGGCUCUUCUUUUUACAGUAGCCACGGUAUGUAUUUUUAUAGACCCUCGAACGCGGACGUUUCACGGUAUGUUGCCUAUUUCAUUCCCCUUCUUUUUACAUUUCCUUUUGUGAGUUACGUCGGCAGCGUCGCUUCUGGAUGUUUUGGUUUUUUUUUUUUUAACCUCCCCAACGUGUAGCAGUACAAAACGGACCAGAGGGAAGAGACUGGAGAAUUAUUAUUAUUUUUUUUUUUAUAUUUGACCGAUGAACUGGCUCAUCCAUGUGGAACCCUAACAUGUCUCACAAGUAUUUAGUAGGAAACUACAAAAAGUUAAAAAUUACAAAAAUUACAGCACUCUACAUAAUGGUUGCGGGAUUGGUCGCCCUCCAAUUUAAAACCCAUUCGCGGGCAGCGUCCCGUUUUUGGGACAUCAUGAUUUUCACGGAUUAUAUCCUUCAGUGUAUCAAAAUAUUUCAGCGUUUUAAUCUGAUUAUGGUUUUUGGGACGAUCUACUAAGAAAAUCCAAGUACCCUCUCGCGGGCGGCGUCCCAUUUUUGGGAUGCGAUUAUAAAUUAGUAAAGUUAUCAUAUAACUUAACCAUAAACGAAAAAGAAGUGUUAUUUCCUUGAUUGUGGCCUAUUAGGAGACUUUGAUCUCAAUAAGGCAAAAAAUGGCCACCCUGAGUUAAAUUAAAAAAAAAAAAAAAAAAGUUAUUCAUCGUAAUGUUUGCAAUUUAAUUCAUCUGUUUUCGAGUCAAACUGUAAGAAGAUGAAAUGACACAUAAUUUAUUGUCAAUUCAGGGACAUUCUUAGUUGUCGUUCAAAUUCAAACGAUAAAAACGAUGCAAUAUCCACAAUACGUCAUUUAUCAGCCUGGUUGUCUUCAUUGCGCUUUUUAAUAUUUCCAUACAAGUCAAUAUGAAAGAAAAUUGACGUCACAUUCACAUAAUGGGAAUCGCCACGGGCUGGCUAACAUACCGCAUCGACGUUGCUGUAUUACGAACCUUAAACCGAAUUGAACACAAAUGCCGUAGCAACACAUGUUGAUACUCACAGGCAUAUAUUCUUUAGCCUCCGUGAAAAAGCUGUGUUCAUGUGUGGGUUUUUUUUUUUUUUGUCUGUUUUGUACUGCCCUGCCCUCUGGUGGCCAAAUCACACAAGUCAGAAGAUGCACAAAGAAAGAGCCAUCUGAUUUCAGAUAUGAGAUUACAUUUUAAGUUUUUUUUAAAUUGAAUUUAUCAUUCAGUAGGUCAAGCCAGGCGGCACGGUGUCUCAGCUGGUAAAGCGUUGGCUUCACAGUUCUGAGGUCUCGGGUUCAAUCCCAGACCCGGCUGUGUGGAGUUUGCAUGUUCUACCCGUGCCCGCGUGGUUUUUCUCCGGGCACCCCGGUUUCCUCGCACAUCCCAAAAACAUGCGACAUUAAUUGGACACUCCAAAUUGCCCCGAGGUGUGAUUGUGAAUGCAAAUGUUUCCAUGUGCCCUGCGUUUUGCUGGCGACCAGUUCAGGGUGUACCCCACCUCCUGCCCGUCGACAGCUGGGAUAGGCUCCGGCACUCCCCGCGACCCUUGUGAGGAUAAGCGGCAAAGACAAUGGAUGGAUGGAUGGAUGGAUGGAUGGGUUUUAGGUCGUCCUCCCUUCCUAGAUGUUCAUCCUCCCUCCCCCGCGAGACCGUUAACCUCAUCGGCGCCGAUCUUAAAAGAAUCGCACCGAGUCGAUCGUUCCGCUAACAGCGAGGCGGCGUACGAGUCGCGACAAUCUCCCCCCGAGGGCACAGAACCAGUUUCGAUGAAGUCCUCCGAGGGCCGUGAUAAAUUUACGAGAAAAUCCGACGCAACCGUCAAGCAAAUAUGCAUUAUUACUCAUUCUGAGCACUUUUCUAUUGUUAUAGCCGCUCCCUCCCGCGGUUUUAUUUGUGUCGGGAUGCCGGAUCAAAUCCGCACGUGGAUGCUUAGUACGUACGCGUAAGAGAGCGAGCAAGCGCAAAUUUCAAACUGCUCGGACUUCAAGAGGAGCAAAAUCUGCCAGUUACUUCCCAAAUAUCACAAUGUGCCUCUGUUAUGAUUAUUAUUAUUGUUUUGUUCAGAGUCACUGAUGGUGUAGCAGUACACACGCCUGCCUUUGGCGUGGGAUCGAUUCCCGCUCAGUCAUGUUAUCGAAAUCUGCCUUGCGACUGACUGCCGACCAGUUCAGGGCGUAGUCCGCCUUUCGCCCCAAGCUAGCUGGGAUACCCUCCGGCUUUCCCGCGACCUUUGUGAGGCUAAGCGGCUUGGAUAAUGAGAUGAGGUGUCAGAAUCUUGUUCACUUGACUUCCAGCCUUCGUAUCAAUUUCAUCCACAUUAUGCCAUUGACGGUUUUCCCUCCUCUUGGAUUUCUCUUUCAUGAUCUUUCUUCAUAUUUCUCACCCCCCCCCCUCCUCCAUUUUUAACUCAGCGGCGACGUACCGCCGUACGCGCUCCCUUCAAAGGAAACGGGAACUUCUCCUCCAGGAAUGUCGAACGUGAGCGCCCCGAAGCACUGUGUCGUACAAUAAGGUGGAGCAGAGCUGUCUAUGCACUUUGACCUCUGCGCUGCCAGAGGCGACAAUAGCCAUAUUAAACUCGGUGACCCCCCCCCCCCCCCCUCCGUCUUUUGAACGUACACCAGCGACAAAAUGCAUUUUGGUCUGGGUUGAAGGACUGGCCUCACACUUCUGAGGUCCCGGGUUCGAUCCCAGACCCGCCUGUGUGGAGUUUGCAUGUUCUCCCCGUGCCUGCGUGGGUUUCCUCCGGGUAGGCACUGCGGUUUCCUCCCACAUCCCAAAAACAUGCAACAUUAAUCAGACCCUCUAAAUUGCCCAUAGGUGUGAUUGUGAGUGCGGCUGAUUGUCUCGAUGUGCCCUGCGAUUGGCUGGCGACCAGUUCAGGGUGUACCCCGCCUCCUGCCCGUUGACUGCUGGGAUAGGCUCCGGCACUCCCCGUGACCCUCGUGAGGAUAAGCGGCUACGAAAAUGGAUGGAUGGGGUUUUAGUGCGUUGCGGACCUCAAACAGGGAUCCGAACGUCGUCGUUUUCCGGGGGUCCGCAAAAUAACUUGCAAUCCAUUUUUUUAUAUUCUGUCGUUGCAAAUCUUUGUUCCGAACAAACAACGAUUAUAAGCUCCGAUAUAAUUGUGAGGUAUUAUCACUUCAACUUGACAUUUCUGCAUGAAUAAAAUUAAAAGAUGUAUUGAGAAUAUUGUCUCCCCCCUCCCCACUUUUUUUUUUAAAUGAACUAAGGUGUCUUUCCUGAAUAACAAUAUUAUGAGAAUAAAGAUGUAUUUUGGAAAUGUACUUGUUGAAAUAUAACUUUGUCUAUAUCAGAAAAUUAUGAUUUUACCUCAGAAAAAUAUGACUUUAUUCUUGUACGUUUACAACACUUUAACCAGGAAAAAAAAAAUGCAUCUUUGUUCUUGUAAAGAUUUUUCGCCUUACAUUUUUUUAAUAUUAAUAUUGUAACUCAUGACGACCUUUAUGCCUCCGCGUUGUAGUUUGAGAAUCCCUGAUUUUGAAUGUCAUAUUUCAAGUGGAAUCAUCUCACUACGGGGGGGGGGGGCUUUUUCAUCUUAGCCCUCGAUGGCCGUACCAAAUCAAUCAAAUAAUCAAUAAAUGAUCAUCGCUGUCAUCACGAGCAUUUUUGGCCCUUUUUUUUUUUUUUUUUUAAACUGCAUCAAAUAUUUUCACGGGGUCCCCAUCACCCCCCCCCCCCCUCGAAUUCUGGUAAACGGUCAGGAACAAAACCAGCCACGUGUUGCUUGAUAUGCAAAACUAAAUCAAGACAUAAAAUGCUCAGUGCGACCGUUUGUGUCCGAGAAUAAUUCAUACUCGUCGUUUUUCGUGUAAAACUCUAAAUAUUGUACAUAAGGCCCUGAAUUUCUAUAAUCGUGUACAUGUAUUGCAACUACCUUUCUUUUCGAGGGGAAUACAUGUGUGUAAAUAAUGUUUGCAUACAGCACUUGUUGCCUUUUGUCAUACAUCGAGGCGCUCAAAUAUGUUGUUUAUACGUCACGAACUGACUUUGACCAUUUUGCUUGGCAUAACUUUGUACAUUUUUUUGUGUGUGUGUCCAUGUCGGCUUGUUUUGGCCCAUUUGUACAGAUGUUCGACAUUACCGCUGCAGUUACAUUCUGGAAAUAAAGCACUUGCUCUGCAACGUCUUUCAUGGCUCCAGCACUUCCCGCGACCCUUGUGAGGAUAAGCGGCAAAGAAAACGGAUGGUCGGAAGAUUGCGACGCACCUGAAAAGCCUCC